AUGCUCCCUAUGAUGACGCCCGUCGUUUUCUUCAUCAAGACGGCGCCAAGGAGGACAAAGGCGUGGAGAUCGCGAGGAUGCCGUCGCCGUGCCACUGUGGAUGGUGGCCCGGAGCUCGCCAAGACGAUGUCCAUCGCCAACAUUAUCAAGCUGGAGUCUGGAGGCAUGGAACUCGCGGGGAUCCUGCCACGUGCCGCGGAGGAUGGCGACACAGAGCUCACUAGGAUGAUGCCCGUCAUCUUCUUCAUCAAGCCGGCGGCAUGGACGACGGAGGCAUGGAACUCGCGAGGAUGCCGCUACCGUGCCAUGGUGGAUAGCGACACGGAUCUCACCAGCACGACAUCAUCAAGCUGGUGUCACGGAGAACAAAGGCGUGGAGUUUGUGGUACGACACCACCGAUGUCUACCUCGUCAAGACGGAGCCUGCGACCCAGAGCCACGAAGACGACACACACCCCAGUGCUGCCCGCAACAUGA
rnacentral:rRNA from 1 species